GGCGUGUCACAAGGACCUCCGCAACCUAGCAACCACCAGCACUCAACUGACACUACUAGGUUUCCUUAUAUGGCUUUUAAUCCAUGUUCAGCUUUUUACAAGUUCCUGUUGACUUCUUAAGGAGAUCUCUUUUCAAGGAUCCUGCCAUUUCAUCAAAAGCCUCAUAGUUUAUAAUGAGCAGGAAAGUGAAGAGUGCAUUUCAUCCAAAGUUUGACUCUUAAUGAACGCUACCCAUGUGCAACCAAUAAGCUUACCUUUGUUGUCCUCCAACUUUGGACCAGUUGCAACAUAUAGAUGGGCCUCUGCCA